rnacentral:misc_RNA from 1 species
AACGCAUAUUGCGCUCUUUGGUAUUCCGAAGAGCAUGCUUGUUUGAGUAUCAGUAAACACCUCAAAGCUUUUGAUUUUUUUUAAAAGUUUUGGACUUGAGCAAUCCCAACACCAAUCUUUUUCAGAUCGGCGGCGGGUUGCUUGAAAUGCAGGUGCAGCUGGACAUUCUCCUGAGCUAAAAGCAUAUUUAUUUAGUCCUCGUCAAACAGGAUUAUUACUUUUGCUGCAGCUAACAUAAAGGAUAAUUGUCCUCUUUGCUGACUGAUGCAGGAUUUUACGACACUUUAUGUGUUGUUCAACUCGAUCUCAAAUCAAGUAAGACUACCCGCUGAACUUAA